rnacentral:rRNA from 1 species
CCUACGGGAGGCAGCAGUGGGGAAUCUUAGACAAUGGGGGCAACCCUGAUCUAGCCAUGCCGCGUGAGUGAUGAAGGCCUUAGGGUCGUAAAGCUCUUUCGCCUGUGAUGAUAAUGACAGUAGCAGGUAAAGAAACCCCGGCUAACUCCGUGCCAGCAGCCGCGGUAAUACGGAGGGGGUUAGCGUUGUUCGGAAUUACUGGGCGUAAAGCGCGCGUAGGCGGAUUAGAAAGUUGGGGGUGAAAUCCCGGGGCUCAACCCCGGAACUGCCUCCAAAACUGCUAGUCUAGAGUUCGAGAGAGGUGAGUGGAAUUCCGAGUGUAGAGGUGAAAUUCGUAGAUAUUCGGAGGAACACCAGUGGCGAAGGCGGCUCACUGGCUCGAUACUAACGCUGAGGUGCGAAAGUGUGGGGAGCAAACAGGAUUAGAUACCCUGGUAGUCCACACCGUAAACGAUGAAUGCCAGUCGUCGGAUAGUAUACUAUUCGGUGACACACCUAACGGAUUAAGCAUUCCGCCUGGGGAGUACGGUCGCAAGAUUAAAACUCAAAGGAAUUGACGG